rnacentral:rRNA from 1 species
UACGUAGGGUGCGAGCGUUGCCCGGAUUUAUUGGGCGUAAAGCGUGCGCAGGCGGUUGUGUAAGACAGAUGUGAAAUCCCCGGGCUCAACCUGGGAACUGCAUUUGUGACUGCACGGCUGGAGUGCGGCAGAGGGGGAUGGAAUUCCGCGUGUAGCAGUGAAAUGCGUAGAUAUGCGGAGGAACACCGAUGGCGAAGGCAAUCCCCUGGGCCUGCACUGACGCUCAUGCACGAAAGCGUGGGGAGCAAACAGG